rnacentral:rRNA from 1 species
CAAUUAUACCGUAAAUUUAAUUGUUAAUCUAAAGGGGUACAGCCCUUUAGACCAAGGAUACAACCUUAAUUAGAGAGUAAGAAUACUAAUAACCAUAGUUGGCUUAAAAGCAGCCAUCAAUUAAGAAAGCGUUCAAGCUCAACAACAACUAGUUCCUUAAUCCAACGAUUAUAUACUAACUCCUAAUUUACCACUGGACUAAUCUAUUAAUCAAUAGAAGAAAUACUGUUAAUAUGAGUAACAAGAUUUAUAUCUCCUAGCAUAAGCUUAUGUCAGACCAAAUAAUAACUGAUAGUUAACAGCCAAAUAAAUAUAAUCCUACAUAAACCAUUUAUUAACCCACUGUUAAUCCAACACAGGUAUGCAUAAAGGAAAGAUUAAAAGAAAUAAAAGGAACUCGGCAAACACAAACCCCGCCUGUUUACCAAAAACAUCACCUCUAGCAUUACUAGUAUUAGAGGCACUGCCUGCCCAGUGACAACUGUUUAACGGCCGCGGUAUCCUGACCGUGCAAAGGUAGCAUAAUCAUUUGUUCUUUAAAUAAGGACUUGUAUGAAUGGCCACACGAGGGUUUAACUGUCUCUUAUUUCUAAUCAGUGAAAUUGACCUUUCCGUGAAGAGGCGGAAAUACUCCAAUAAGACGAGAAGACCCUAUGGAGCUUUAAUUAACCUAACCCAACAGAACAACACUUAACUCCGCCAAGGACUAACAUAUAUUCUAACUGGGUUAUAAAUUUCGGUUGGGGUGACCUCGGAGCACAAAAUAACCUCCGAGAACUAUCUACUAAGACUGACAAGUCAAAGUAAAUCUUCACAAAUUGAUCCAGUCUCACUGAUCAACGGAACAAGUUACCCUAGGGAUAACAGCGCAAUCCUAUUCUAGAGUCCCUAUCGACAAUAGGGUUUACGACCUCGAUGUUGGAUCAGGACAUCCUAAUGGUGCAGCAGCUAUUAAUGGUUCGUUU